AGAGUUUGAUCAUGGCUCAGAACGAACGCUGGCGGCAGGCUUAACACAUGCAAGUCGAACGGUUGUAGCAAUACAGCAGUGGCAGACGGGUGAGUAACACGUGGGAACCUUCCUAGGGGUACGGAACAACUCAGGGAAACUUGAGCUAAUACCGUAUACGUCCGUGAGGAGAAAGUUUUAACGCCCCUAGACGGGCCCGCGUAGGAUUAGGUAGUUGGUGAGGUAACGGCUCACCAAGCCUACGAUCCUUAGCUGAUCUGAGAGGAUGAUCAGCCACACUGGGACUGAGACACGGCCCAGACUCCUACGGGAGGCAGCAGUGGGGAAUCUUGGACAAUGGGCGCAAGCCUGAUCCAGCCAUGCCGCGUGAGUGAAGAAGGCCUUCGGGUUGUAAAGCUCUUUUACCAGGGACGAUAAUGACGGUACCUGAGAAUAGCC
rnacentral:rRNA from 1 species